AGGCGGGAGCUUUUGGGGGCGGAGGAAGCGGGUUGGGGCCGGCGGAGUGGCAGGGUAACAAGAUGGCGGCGGAGACGGUGGAGCUUCAUAAAUUGAAGCUUGCGGAACUAAAGCAAGAAUGUCUUGCACGUGGUUUAGAGACCAAAGGAAUAAAACAAGAUCUUAUCAACAGGCUUCAGGCAUAUCUUGAAGAGCAUGCCGAAGAGGAGGCAAAUGAAGAAGAUGUACUGGGAGAUGAAACAGAGGAAGAAGAAACAAAGCCCAUAGAACUGCCUGUCAAAGAGGAAGAACCCCCUGAAAAAACUGUUGAUGUGGCAGCAGAGAAGAAAGUGGUAAAAAUUACAUCUGAGAUGCCACAGACUGAGAGAAUGCAAAAGAGGGCUGAACGAUUCAAUGUACCUGUGAGCUUGGAAAGUAAGAAAGCUGCUCGGGCAGCUAGGUUUGGGAUUUCUUCAGUUCCAACAAAAGGUCUGUCAUCUGACACCAAGCCUAUGGUUAAUCUGGAUAAGCUAAAGGAAAGAGCACAAAGAUUUGGCUUGAAUGUCUCUUCAAUCUCUAGAAAGUCUGAAGAUGAUGAGAAGCUGAAAAAGAGGAAGGAGCGAUUUGGGAUUGUCACAAGUUCAGCUGGAACUGGAACCACAGAGGAUACAGAGGCAAAGAAGAGGAAAAGAGCAGAGCGCUUUGGGAUUGCAUGAUGAAAAGUUCUUGAUGCUUUUUCUUCUUCGGUGGUUUCCAUUUCUGCUUCUUCUUGGUUACAUAUAUACCUAAGUGCACGGUCACAUGCCUACGUCCUGCCUUGAAAUGAGGGAGCAUGUACCCCAGGUUCAAGUGCUGGAUUGUGUCAUGUGACCAUCCCAAAACUCAGAGCACCCUAAGGCCAUCUUUGCCCUCUGUCACAUAACUUGAAAACUGCCUGAUGGCCUUUUUGCAAUGUUUCCUUCCAGGAAGCCUUGAUUUCAAUGAAGAAGUCCUUUCCCGGCAUUCCAGUGCCCUGUCAGCCCCAUUCCUCAGACACUCUUUAACAAACAAAGGCAAUCACACACAUGGUGUAACAAAUACACAAAGUAAAUAAUCACACUAAUAUGUUCAGAGGGGCACUGGCCAGGUUCACACAAAUAAGGUGGGGGAGGGUUGCUCCCACUGGGUUGCUAGGCUGUGUCCCCAAACCUCUUUAUCCCAUGCUUUUUGGGGAUAGGGAAGAACAGCGGACUGAGACUUCAACUCAUAGGCUUAUAUUCAUAAAAGAAACUCCCCCUCCUCUCUCACAACGAUCUUUAUUUGGUGGUACUCAAGGGGCAAUACUUUUAAGUGUUCCCCAAGUUUAGUGCCCCUAGGCUCUGUAAAGUUACCUGAUGCUUAUGCCCAACCUCUACCCUGCCCCAAGAUCAAGAGAUACUUGACCUUGGGGGAAUCAUCUUCACUCUCCUGCCCCUCUCCUUCCGUCAAGGAAAUGUGAAUGGUAUUGAUCAUCAGGUGUCUUAUUCUCCAUUGAGGCAGAAAGGAUGAAGAACAGGGCCAGAAAGGAGAGGCUUGGGGUUGACAUAGCUGCUCUAUGGGAGGUUAGUUGAAAAGCUUAACAGCUCCUUCUUAUUCCUCUACGGAAACACCUCGUCUCAUUGUCUCACUAUGAGAAUAGGAGUAAGACACUCAAGCUCACCAACAUUACUUUCCCAGGCUGGCCACGUACCUUUG